UACGAGGGGGGCAAGCGUUGUUCGGAAUUAUUGGGCGUAAAGGGUGCGUAGGCGGUUUGGUAAGUCUGAUGUGAAAUCUAUGGGCUCAACUCAUAGUCUGCAUCGGAAACUGCCGGGCUUGAGUGUGGGAGAGGUGAGUGGAAUUCCUGGUGUAGCGGUGAAAUGCGUAGAUAUCAGGAGGAACACCUGUGGCGAAAGCGGCUCACUGGACCAUAACUGACGCUGAUGAGCGAAAGCGUGGGGAGCAAACAGG
rnacentral:rRNA from 1 species